rnacentral:rRNA from 1 species
CCUACGGGAGGCAGCAGUGGGGAAUCUUGCGCAAUGGGCGAAAGCCUGACGCAGCAACGCCGCGUGCGGGAAGAAGGCUUUCGGGCUGUAAACCGCUUUCAGCAGGAACGAAAAUGACGGUACCUGCAGAAGAAGGAGCGGCCAACUAUGUGCCAGCAGCCGCGGUGAUACAUAGGCUUCAAGCGUUGUCCGGAUUUAUUGGGCGUAAAGAGUUCGUAGGCGGUCAAGUAAGUCGGGUGUGAAAAUUCUGGGCUCAACCCAGAGACGCCACCCGAUACUGCUUAACUUGAGUUCGAUAGGGGAGUGGGGAAUUCCUAGUGUAGCGGUGAAAUGCGCAGAUAUUAGGAGGAACACCGGUGGCGAAGGCGCCACUCUGGAUCGAUACUGACGCUGAGGAACGAAAGCAUGGGUAGCAAACAGGAUUAGAUACCCUGGUAGUCCAUGCCGUAAACGGUGGGCACUAGGUGUGGGUUUCUAUUAACGAAAUCCGCGCCGUCGCUAACGCAUUAAGUGCCCCGCCUGGGGAGUACGGUCGCAAGCUAAAACUCAAAGGAAUUGAACGGNUGAGCGUGCGAGCGCGACGAGGAGAGG